GAUGAACGCUGGCGGCGUGCCUAAUACAUGCAAGUCGAGCGAACAGACGAGGAGCUUGCUCCUCUGACGUUAGCGGCGGACGGGUGAGUAACACGUGGGUAACCUACCUAUAAGACUGGGAUAACUUCGGGAAACCGGAGCUAAUACCGGAUAAUAUAUUGAACCGCAUGGUUCAAUAGUGAAAGACGGUUUUGCUGUCACUUAUAGAUGGAUCCGCGCCGCAUUAGCUAGUUGGUAAGGUAACGGCUUACCAAGGCAACGAUGCGUAGCCGACCUGAGAGGGUGAUCGGCCACACUGGAACUGAGACACGGUCCAUACUCCUACGGGAGGCAGCAGUAUGGAAUCUUCCGCAAUGGGCGAAAGCCUUACGGAGCAACGCCGCGUGAGUGAUGAAGGUCUUCGGAUCGUAAAACUCUGUUAUUAGGGAAGAACAAAUGUGUAAGUAACUAUGCACGUCUUGACGGUACCUAAUCAGAAAGCCACGGCUAACUACGUG
rnacentral:rRNA from 1 species